rnacentral:rRNA from 1 species
UACGGAGGGUGCAAGCGUUAUCCGGAUUCACUGGGGUUAAAGGGUGCGUAGGAGGACAGGUAAGUCAGUGGUGAAAUCUCCGAGCUUAACUUGGAAACUGCCGUUGAUACUAUCUGCCUUGAAUAUUGUGGAGGUGAGCGGAAUAUGUCAUGUAGCGGUGAAAUGCUUAGAUAUGACAUAGAACACCAAUUGCGAAGGCAGCUCGCUACACAUAUAUUGACUCUGAGGCACGAAAGCGUGGGGAUCAAACAGG